AUUAUUUUUAAAUUCAUAACAUACAAGUUUCAUUCAACAAUACUAUUGCCAUAAAAAAAAUCUAAUCAAAGUAUCGUGUUCAACUUAAUUAGGCAUUUAAAAAUUAUUGUACUGAUAUGGACUAAUGCGAUAAAACUAAAGCAAAAUGUCGACGGCUUGCAAUUGCUACUGUAUUAUAUAUUUUACUUUGUGUUUCCUUCAAAUACCCGUUAGUUCCAGACUAUGGCAUCAUCAAAGAAAUUUUUCAGGACUGGGUAUAAAAUCUACUACACCGGAUACGGAACAGAGUUUAUUGGUGGAUUGUGCAAAUAUGCAAGGCGUUUGUAUAAAAAGUAGAGCAUGUCCCUAUGAUAGGGUUAUACCAGACGAUGAUAAAUGCUUUGCAUAUAGCAACAAUUUCCUCUGUUGUCAGGUGGCCCGUGUACGAAUGCCACUUGACAUAUUUGACGUGAUGUAAUAUCAUCCUAAACGAAGAAUUUAAUUGAAUAAAAUGUUAAUUUGACAUCUAUUCAGGCUUUUUUAAAAAAGUAUAUAAGAAACAUUGAAGGUAAAUAACUAAUUGCGAAUGAUACACAAAUGAUAACGGAAAAUAAAUGAAAAGUGUGUUCAACAAACAAUACAAAUCUUGCAUUUUAUUAUAUAAAGUAUGGAUUGCAAAUGAAUAUAUUAUAGAAUAUGUAAAUAAGUAGAAAUACAUAUAUUUUAAACGUUGCUAUAAUACCAGGCCCUAUUGCAAUACAUUCUUGUAAACAGCUUUUUUGAUAUAUAUAAGU
rnacentral:misc_RNA from 1 species